CUACGGGACGCUCCAGUGAGGAAUAUUGCACAAUGGAGGAAACUCUGAUGCAGCAACGCCGCGUGGAGGAUGACGCAUUUCGGUGUGUAAACUCCUUUUAUAUGUCAAGAAAAUGACGGUAGCAUAUGAAUAAGCACCGGCUAACUCCGUGCCAGCAGCCGCGGUAAUACGGAGGGUGCAAGCGUUACUCGGAAUCACUGGGCGUAAAGGACGCGUAGGCGGGAUAUCAAGUCAGGUGUGUAAUCCUACAGCUUAACUGUAGAACUGCACUUGAAACUGGUAACCUAGAGUAUGGGAGGGGGAGAUGGAAUUAGUGGUGUAGGGGUAAAAUCCGUAGAUAUCACUAGGAAUACCUAAAGCGAAGGCGAUCUCCUGGAACAUAACUGACGCUAAGGCGUGAAAGCGUGGGGAGCAAACAGGAUUAGAUACCCUCGUAGUC
rnacentral:rRNA from 1 species